rnacentral:RNase_P_RNA from 1 species
UGAGUCGGCCGGGCGGCCGCGACGGCGCGCCGCGUCGUCGAGGAAAGUCCGGACUCCACAGGGCAGGGUGGUUGUUAACGGCAACCCGGGGCGACCCGCGGGACAGUGCCACAGAAAACAGACCGCCCGGUCCGCCUCGGCGGACCGGGUAAGGGUGAAACGGUGGUGUAAGAGACCACCAGCACCCCGGGUGACCGGGGUGGCUCGGUAAACCCCACCCGGAGCAAGGCCAAGAGGGCGGGAGACCGCCUGCGCGAACGUUCGAGGGCUGCCCGCCCGAGUUCGCGGGUAGGCCGCUGGAGCCUGUCGGUGACGGCAGGUCUAGAUGGAUGGUCGCCGGCCGUCGGACCGAGAGGUCCGGUGGUCACAGAAUCCGGCUUACAGGUCGACUCGUCCC